UUAAGAAAGAGGAAGAAAAUGAGUACCUAAGAGCAUUGCGCAUGGGAACAUAGAGGAAAGCCUAGACUAGUGUUUCCCUCAAAAAUUGGGUGGCAAUAUAUGUUUCUAAGUUUUCCCAAUGCCUCUCACGCCUACCGUUCUUAGGCGCUCCUUCCUCUACCUUUUGACU
rnacentral:pre_miRNA from 1 species